UACAUCAUUGCGGGAGAGUGUUUAAGUACACGCCGAAGGAGCAACCGCCUCGGAAACUCUCAGGCCACAGGACUGUAAUGAUGAA
rnacentral:ncRNA from 1 species